AUCCAGCUGAUGAGUCCUAAAUAGGACGGGACGCACAACCUGGAU
rfam:Schistosoma rodhaini strain Burundi genome assembly, scaffold: SROB_scaffold0002982